CGCAAACACGCAAAGACCAUAUAAAGCGGCCGUGUGUUGAUAAUAUCUCCACUCGAAGCAUUUUUAAACAGCAACUCCGAGAGAAAUCCUGUUUCUCCCUGCUGGCCUCCUCCGUACUUCCCGGCUGAUCUGAUUAUUUUUCCCUUCACGUUUUGUCCCAAUAGCAAAUUACCAAUUCUAUGAAUUGCAAAGCAGCCUGGAAGACGCUGAGGGGUAGAGAGGGGGAGAUGCCGAGAUUGAAAGGGAUCUUUGCAAACACAAUCACGUUCUUAAAUGGAAAUGUGGGGCUUUAAACAAAUCUUACAUCUCUCCUGUUCCAGUCGUCUAAAACUCCGCAAUCAGGCACACGGUCGACUCCAUCUAAAACCAAAGCUUUUAAAGAAGAUUUUUUUGGUGUCAGUUCUAUUUAAAUUAUUUACAUCAGUGUAUUUUUUUAGUUCACGUGCGUGUUUGUGUGUUUGUCUUGCUCUCAUUGGGGUGUUUCCACAGGCUUUCAGAGGAAAUGUGCUGUUACAUUUGGGGAAUUCAACCGUCAGACGAAAACGCUUCUCUUUGUGGCUCAAAGGGGCCUGAAAGGAUUCAGCGACUUGCUUUAAAGACAUCUGAAGAGUCCAGUUACAUUUGCUUGAGGGCUCGUUUGGGUAUGAAAUCCACCAAGAGGACUUUAAAGGGGUCGUGACCAGCCCAGGUUUAGAAACAGAUGUAUUGGGAUCACUUCGGGCGGCAUGUGUGCUUAGACAGCAGGAUGUAGAGAGAACAGGUGUGGUGCCUGUAGGUCCUUUAUGUACCAUAUGUACGCAGGUAAGGCCAUGGGGCAUGAUGUCACCGAAAGUGUCACUUCCGAACAGCUAACUCUCUUUCUCUCCUCUCUUCUCUCUCAGUCACACACACAUUAAACAGAUUGUUUAUUCAAUCCCUGCAGCAAUUUAUUAUUAUUAUUAUUGUUAUUAUUAUUAUUGUUUAUUUAAGAUAUUUGAUGUUAUAUCAUUUUUAUUUGUUUUUAACAUUAUUGUCUUUUUAAAAAUGUGUGUUGUAUUAUUCGGUUCUUCUUUACCAAAGAAUUAUUUGUUUUGUAACAUUUUGGGUAUGAUUGAUUUCUAGCCUCAUGAGAUUAUUGUGAUGUAAUGCUGAUGAAAUAAAAUUCUCUAGAAACAAUAAAGAUGUGCAAAUGUGCUUUGUGGUGUUUUAAGUUACCUACAAAAUUCUCAUUCUCUGGCAAAUAUAGGAAGUUUUAGUCACUACCUGCAGGGACCCAGGAAUAACCUGGCAUUGUACACUAAAGGGCCUAUGGCAAUGGAGAAGCUCACUAACUUCUUACGGGUUUACUUGGCAUUAAACCUGCACCGGAACUGUCAACCUAGAUCCUUAA